rnacentral:rRNA from 1 species
GGGCCCGCACAAGCGGUGGAGCAUGUGGUUUAAUUCGAUGCAACGCGAAGAACCUUACCUACCCUUGACAUCCUCGGAAUCUGCCGGAGACGGCGGAGUGCCUUCGGGAACCGAGUGACAGGUGCUGCAUGGCUGUCGUCAGCUCGUGUUGUGAAAUGUUGGGUUAAGUCCCGUAACGAGCGCAACCCCUGUCCCUAUUUGCCAGCGAUUCGGUCGGGAACUCUAGGGAGACUGCCGGUGACAAACCGGAGGAAGGUGGGGACGACGUCAAGUCAUCAUGGCCCUUACGGGUAGGGCUACACACGUGCUACAAUGGCAGGUACAAAGGGUUGCAAGACGGCGACGUGGAGCUAAUCCCAUAAAGCCUGCCUCAGUCCGGAUCGGAGUCUGCAACUCGACUCCGUG